GCCACUGUAGCUCAAUCGGUUAGAGCAUCCGACUCAUAAUCGGCAGGUCGAGGGUUCGAUUCCCUCCAGUGGCCCCA
rnacentral:tRNA from 5 species